rnacentral:misc_RNA from 1 species
GAUGAAGAACGUAGCGAAAUGCGAUACUUGGUGUGAAUUGCAGAAUCCCGUGAACCAUCGAGUCUUUGAACGCAAGUUGCGCCCGAAGCCAUUAGGCCGAGGGCACGCCUGCCUGGGCGUCACACGUCGUUGCCCCCCCAUCUACUCCUUCGGGAUUGCGGGGGGCGGAUGAUGGCCUCCCGUGCGCCUCGUCGCGCGGUUGGCAUAAAUGCCAAGUCCUCGGCGACGCACGCCACGACAAUCGGUGGUUGCGAAACCUCGGUUGCCCGUCGUGUGCGGUCGUCGCGCAUCGAGGGCUCGAAAAAAUUGCCGGGCUCCGGCUCGACUUUCAACGCGACCCCAUGUCAGGCGGGGUUACCCGCUGAAUUUAAGCAUAUCAAUAAGCGGAGGA